UACCCGGUGGUGUAAUGGGUAACACAUGGGUUUUUGGUACCCAUAUUCCAGGUUCGAGUCCUGGCCGGGUAG
rnacentral:tRNA from 1 species